GGGGACACGUGACCGUGCGGGGACAGACAUGGGGACACAGGCAUGGGGACGUGGGGCUGUGAGGGGACAGACGUGGGGACGUGGGAUGUGUGGGGACGGACAUGGGAUCUGUGGGGACACACGUGGGGACAUGGGGACAUGGGAUGUGUGGGGCCAGACAUGGGGACGGACAUGGGGCCGGACACAUGGGACACACAUGGGGACAUCUGGGGCCAUGGGAUGUGGGGACACGUGGGGAUGUGGGGGGCUGUGUGGGGACAGGCAUGGGGACAUGUGGGGAUGUGUGGGGCUGGGAGGGGACACGUGGGGACAUGGGAUGUGUGGGGACAGACAUGGGGACACGUGGGGACGUGGGAUCUGUGGGGACACACGUGGGGACAUGGGGACAUGGGAUGUGUGGGGCCAGACAUGGGGACGGACAUGGGGACACGUGGGGACAUGGGAUGCGUGGGGACACGUGGGGACAGACACAAGGGGACACAUGGGGAUGUGGGGGGACAUGGGGUGAUGUGUGGGGACACGCACAUGGGGACACAUGGGGACACGGGAUGCGUGGGGACAGACAUGGGGACAGACACGGGACACACGCAUGGGGACACAUGGGGUGAUGGGGUGUGUGGGGACGUGUGGGGACACGUGGGGAUGUGUGGGGUCAUGGGAUGUGUGGGGACACAUGGGUCACACCCAUGCACACAUUGCACACACACGCAAUGACACGCGUGUGCCUGACGUGCUGCCCCAUGUCCGGGCACACGUGGAUCUCACACACACACACGUGUGUUCACACACCAUGACACGCGUGUCCCCGACUCUUUCCCCCGUCUCAGGGCACACACGUGGAUCUCACACACACACACACAGGUGGUCACACACCAUGACACACGUGUCCCCACCACUCUCCCCCGUCUCAGGGCACAGACACACACACACACGCGUGUUCACACACAAUGACACACAUGUCCCUGACUCUUUCCCCCGUCUCAGGGCACACACACACACACACACACACACACACCAUGACACGCGUGUCCCCGACUCUUUCCCCCGUCUCAGGGCACACAGACACACACACGCGUGUUCACUCGCCAUGACACGCGUGUCCCCGCCGCUCUCCCCCAUCUCAGGGCACACACACACACACACUUGUUCACACGCCAUGACACGCGUGCCCCUGACUCUUUCUCCCAUCUCAGGGCACACACACACACGCACACGCCAUGACACGCGUGUCCCCGACUCUUUCCCCCGUCUCAGGGCACACACGUGGGUCUCACUUACACACACACACAUGGGUCUCACACACACACACAUGGGUCUCACUUACACACACACACGUGGGUCUCACUUACACGUGGGUCUCACUUACACACGUGGGUCUCACUUUCACACACACAUGUGUAUCUCACUUUCACACACACGUGGGUCUCACUUUCACACACACACGUGGGUCUCACUUUCACACACACACGUGGGUCUCACUUUCACACACACGUGGGUCUCACUUUCACACACGUGGGUCUCACUUUCACACACACAUGUGUAUCUCACUUUCACACACACACGUGGGUGUCACUUUCACACACACAUGUGGGUCUCACACACGUGGGUCUCACUUUCACACACACAUGUGGGUCUCACACACACGUGGGUCUCACACACGUGA
rnacentral:lncRNA from 1 species